ACCUGCCCUAUGAUUAUUAUUAAAUGGCUGCGGUAAUUUGACCGUGCAAAGGUAGCAUAAUCAUUAGUUUUUUAAUUGGGAACUGGUAUGAAAGGUCGAACGAAAAAAAGACUGUCUCAAUUUAAUUUAAAUUAGAAUUUUAUUUUUAAGUAAAAAAGCUUAAAUAAUUUUAAAAGACGAGAAGACCCUAUAGAGUUUUAUAUUUAAAUAUUUAUAUAAAAAAUUAAAGAAUUUUUAUUUUUUAUAGAUAUUUAAAUAUUUAAUUGGGGCGAUUAAAAAAUUUAAUUAACUUUUUUUAAAUUUAAACAUUGAUUUAUGAGUAAUUGAUCCAUAUUUAAUGAUUAUAAGAUUAAAUUA
rnacentral:rRNA from 1 species